rnacentral:rRNA from 1 species
CAGCAGUGGGGAAUAUUGCGCAAUGGGGGGAACCCUGACGCAGCCAUGCCGCGUGAAUGAAGAAGGCCUUCGGGUUGUAAAGUUCUUUCGGUAUUGAGGAAGGUUGAUGUGCUAAUAGUAUAUCAAAUUGACGUUAAAUACAGAAGAAGCACCGGCUAACUCCGUGCCAGCAGCCGCGGUAAUACGGAGGGUGCGAGCGUUAAUCGGAAUAACUGGGCGUAAAGGGCACGCAGGCGGUUAUUUAAGUGAGGUGUGAAAGCCCCGGGCUUAACCUGGGAAUUGCAUUUCAGACUGGGUAACUAGAGUACUUUAGGGAGGGGUAGAAUUCCACGUGUAGCGGUGAAAUGCGUAGAGAUGUGGAGGAAUACCGAAGGCGAAGGCAGCCCCUUGGGAAUGUACUGACGCUCAUGUGCGAAAGCGUGGGGAGCAAACAGGAUUAGA